AAUUAUUUUCAUAUUUUUUUUUAACAUUUGUUACCUUUCAAAAAUUAAAAAAAUCGCAAAAAAAGACACAUGGUGUCGUUUUAACCUACAGCACAGAGCUUCAGCUCCAGCUGGACGGUGGAAAAAUAAGUGGACGUUUCUGUAACUUCCCUGUGGAGGAACUAGCUUGUGCCUCUGUAAGCCACACAUACAGUUGAUCAACAGAUGCUGCAUGCUUGACUGCACCCUCAAUGUGUUAUUUGCUGUUUUUUAUUUACAGCUCUCGGCGUUAAGUGAUUCGGAUCUUGCAGAGAUGCUGCAGUGUGAUCGAUCCUCCAGCUCAAGUGAAUCCCCUCAAGCCUGGAAGCUUCUCCUGGUUAAAUCCACCAGAGUGCUGGAUGGAGCUCUGGAUCUCCUGCCCUCUACAGUAGGACUACCUUAUGACAUUUUCUAACCAUUUUAAAUUAAACAUUUUUGUUUAUGUAUUUUUUUAUCCUAAAGGUGUUACUUAAUUUGACAUAAAUUUUGUUGAUGAAAAAUUGAAUGCAAAAUUAGUGCUAAACCGACUUAUGUAUUUGUGUUUUAGACCUUUGACCCCAGCAGUCCCUCAGUGUCUGUGAUUCUGGACGGCAUCAGAGAAACCCGACUGGAUCUGUUCAGCACAGACGCCCUGAACAAUCCCUUCAUGCUGCAGCUGUGGUUCAACAAACGUCUUCAUCCAUUCUUACCUGCAGUUUCCACUGAUUUCCUCUCAUGUCUGGCAACAAAGGAACUGCAGUGCAGCUCCUACCAGUAUAUGUAAGAACUGCAGCAUUGAUCCACCAAAAAUUAAUAUAAGAGGAAAAAUUAACUUUUUUUUUUUUUUUAAACUAAUGAAUUUUUGUCUCUUUUUCCCAUCAUGUGAAUUCUGAACUUAGUUUGAAGAGCUUGAGUCAAGUCUGGGAAAAAAUGACUUUUGAAAAUCAAUCCUCUGUGUACACAAACUUUAUCAAGAUUUACCUAAGCAGGAAUGAGACGGCAGGUUGUGUGUCUGCCUCCAACAGCAGUGCACAGUGGCUGAUUGACAACCUGGGAUCCUUCUCUGAGCUUCUGUCUGUCAGCGAGAUGUUUGAUCUGAACCCACACUUCAGUCCUUUGGAGGCUCUCAGUGUUCUGAGUCCAAAGCAGAGUGCAGAGCUGCUGGUGCUGAAACAUCCCACUCUGCCAAACACAGACGUCAUUAUCAACAAACUCUUUGAUUAUUUCACUGAAUCUCCAAGAGAGAGGAAGUUUACAGAGUUCCUGUCAUUCCUUGUUGUGUUCCUGGAAAUGGGGGAUCUUUCCUGCUUGUCAUACAAAACACUGUAAGAUUUACAUCUUCAGUAUGAUAUUUUUCACAUAAAAAAAAUCUAAAUGUAUUAUUUUCCACUUUUUCUAAAUGUUCUAGGUUCACCAGACUUGACUAUAUGGCAGCCACAGAUUUUCUGGAUGUUUCUACAGCCAUCACAAACAGCAGAAAUGACCUUUCCAAGACUAUACCGUCUGGUAAGAGAUUCAUCAGAUAUACAUUCAUCUUCACCUUCAUGCUUAACCCUGGAGCACUAUCGCUGGGUGGUUUUCACCUGAACACAAGUUUUUACAUGAUUUUCGAUAUGUUGCAUUUUUCUGAGU
rnacentral:lncRNA from 1 species